rnacentral:rRNA from 1 species
AUUGAACGCUGGCGGCAGGCCUAACACAUGCAAGUCGAGCGGAUGACGGGAGCUUGCUCCUUGAUUCAGCGGCGGACGGGUGAGUAAUGCCUAGGAAUCGGCCUGGUAGUGGGGGACAACGUUUCGAAAGGAACGCUAAUACCGCAUACGUCCUACGGGAGAAAGCAGGGGACCUUCGGGCCUUGCGCUAUCGGAUGAGCCUAGGUCGGAUUAGCUUGUUGGGGAGGUAAUGGCUCACCAAGGCGACGAUCCGUAACUGGUCUGAGAGGAUGAUCAGUCACACUGGAACUGAGACACGGUCCAGACUCCUACGGGAGGCAGCAGUGGGGAAUAUUGGACAAUGGGCGAAAGCCUGAUCCAGCCAUGCCGCGUGUGUGAAGAAGGUCUUCGGAUUGUAAAGCACUUUAAGUUGGGAGGAAGGGUUGUAGAUUAAUACUCUGCAAUUUUGACGUUACCGACAGAAUAAGCACCGGCUAACUCUGUG